GUAUCUUAAGUUUACAUAUCCUUAGCUUUAGCUCCUCUACAAUAAGCUAGUGUGAGAGAGCUAUGGCUAUGGCUAUCCCCUAGUGAAGAAAAAGUUUUGAAAACAUAUAGCCUCUAAGAUCAUAAUCAUGGGAGUAUAUGCAUGCCUCCUAAUUUCCCUCUUAUUAAUCCUUCAAACUGUUGGGAUUUCAUCCCUUUCCAUUAAUGCUUCUAAUUCUUUUCAAUAUGAAUCUCUUUCCAAUUCAAACCACUCAUUCAACUCCAUCCCUCCUCUUCAAACUCAUCAUCAUCAACAAGUACUUGUGGUGAACAGACGAGGCGGUGGAGAAGAGAAUAAGACGAUGGAUAGUUGGACUGUUUUAAAGGCUAAAGGGGGAAGGUCCGGCACCGGGGCGGCAGGUGCCAACAAUCACCGGCCGGGAAAGGCGAACCAGAAGAACGCAGCUUCCAGUUUGAUGAACUCUAAUAAUAUAAUUAUGAUUACGACUUUGCUGCUCUCUUCCUAUUUAUACCUGUUCUAGUCAUCUUUUUUCAUUGAUUUCCUUAUGGAAUAAUACGGAAAGAUAUAUAUAUAUAUAUAUAUAUAUAUAUAUAUACAUAAAUAUCUUUUUGUUUGAGCAAAUUUUUGUUAUCAACCACUUCUAUACAUACAUACAUAUAUAUAUACACACAUACAAGAAUCUUGCCAUGACAAGAUUUGGUGUCUAAUCAAUAAAUUGGAUUUCAAUGUCCUUUGCAUUAAUUGUUCCCUUAUUUGGGAGAAAUUUCCAUAGGAAGACAAAUUUCUAAUAUGAACGAAAAGGGUAUAGAAUUUCGACAGUAUUAGAAAUUUUUAUUAUUUAAGUACUUAUAUUAUAUUGGUCUUGGUAAAUAAUUAUUAAGGUAAUUAAACCCUUGUUCAAUUAA